UACAGAGGGGGCAAGCGUUGUUCGGAAUUACUGGGCGUAAAGGGCGCGUAGGCGGCCCGCUAAGUCGAACGUGAAAUCCCUGGGCUCAACCCAGGAACUGCGUCCGAUACUGGCAGGCUUGAAUCCGGGAGAGGGAUGUGGAAUUCCAGGUGUAGCGGUGAAAUGCGUAGAUAUCUGGAGGAACACCGGUGGCGAAGGCGGCAUCCUGGACCGGUAUUGACGCUCAGGAGCGAAAGCGUGGGGAGCGAUCCGG
rnacentral:rRNA from 1 species